rnacentral:rRNA from 1 species
UACGUAGGGAGCAAGCGUUGUCCGGAAUCAUUGGGCGUAAAGAGCUCGUAGGCGGCUUGUCGCGUCGACCGUGAAAACUUGGGGCUCAACCCCAAGCCUGCGGUCGAUACGGGCAGGCUAGAGUUCGGUAGGGGAGACUGGAAUUCCUGGUGUAGCGGUGAAAUGCGCAGAUAUCAGGAGGAACACCGGUGGCGAAGGCGGGUCUCUGGGCCGAUACUGACGCUGAGGAGCGAAAGCGUGGGGAGCGAACAGG